rnacentral:rRNA from 1 species
CGGAUUCUGGGCGUAAGCGCACGCAGGCGGUCUGUCAAGUCGGAUGUGAAAUCCCCGGGCUCAACCUGGGAACUGCAUUCGAAACUGGCAGGCUAGAGUCUUGUAGAGGGGGGUAGAAUUCCAGGUGUAGCGGUGAAAUGCGUAGAGAUCUGGAGGAAUACCGGUGGCGAAGGCGGCCCCCUGGACAAAGACUGACGCUCAGGUGCGAAAGCGUGGGGAGCAAACAGGAUUAGAUACCCUGGUAGUCCACGCCGUAAACGAUGUCGACUUGGAGGUUGUGCCCUUGAGGCGUGGCUUCCGGAGCUAACGCGUUAAGUCGACCGCCUGGGGAGUACGGCCGCAAGGUUAAAACUCAAAUGAAUUGACGGGGGCCCGCACAAGCGGUGGAGCAUGUGGUUUAAUUCGAUGCAACGCGAAGAACCUUACCUACUCUUGACAUCCAGAGAACUUUCCAGAGAUGGAUUGGUGCCUUCGGGAACUCUGAGACAGGUGCUGCAUGGCUGUCGUCAGCUCGUGUUGUGAAAUGUUGGGUUAAGUCCCGCAACGAGCGCAACCCUUAUCCUUUGUUGCCAGCGGUUAGGCCGGGAACUCAAAGGAGACUGCCAGUGAUAAACUGGAGGAAGGUGGGGAUGACGU